GAUGAAGAACGUAGUGAAAUGCGAUAAGUAAUGUGAAUUGCAGAAUUCAGUGAAUCAUCGAAUCUUUGAACGCACAUUGCGCCCGCCAGUAUUCUGGCGGGCAUGCCUGUCCGAGCGUCAUUUCAACCCUCGAACCCCUCCGGGGGGUCGGCGUUGGGGAUCGGCCCUGCCUUUGGCGGUGGCCGUCUCCGAAAUACAGUGGCGGUCUCGCCGCAGCCUCUCCUGCGCAGUAGUUUGCACACUCGCAUCGGGAGCGCGGCGCGUCCACAGCCGUUAAACACCCAACUUCUGAAAUGUUGACCUCGGAUCAGGUAGGAAUACCCGCUGAACUUAAGCAUAUCAAUAAGCGGAGGA
rnacentral:misc_RNA from 1 species